CAUAGGAGAGAGCUGACACAGGAGAACUGAUAUACGGCAGCGAUAUAUUCAACGAGAACAUGAGAACUCCUGCUCUGCAGCGGGCUCCGUAAUUGAUGACCACGGGAUCCAUGCUCCGGGCCGGUCACUUUAGGCCUUUGUGCAGAGUAUUCUUUCUAGUCUCAUGCCCCGUGUGAUCCUCUCCUUCCACUGUUUUCCCAAGGGAUUGGAAAUGCUUCUGACAGCAGUGAAUGACCGGUCUCCUUUGAACCCCUGGGCAGCAGAAGGUUCUGACUGGGAGGCAAAAUGUUUCUUCUGGCGAUUUUGAAGAAGCU
rnacentral:lncRNA from 1 species